rnacentral:rRNA from 1 species
AACUCUAAGCGGCGGAUCACUCGGCUCAUGGGUCGAUGAAGAACGCAGCAAACUGUGCGUCAUCGUGUGAACUGCAGGACACAUGAACAUCGACAUUUUGAACGCAUAUCGCAGUCCAUGCUG